CCUACGGGUGGCAGCAGUGAGGAAUAUUGGUCAAUGGACGAGAGUCUGAACCAGCCAAGUAGCGUGAAGGAUGACUGCCCUAUGGGUUGUAAACUUCUUUUACAUGGGAAUAAAAUGUUCCACGUGUGGGAUUUUGUAUGUACCAUACGAAUAAGGAUCGGCUAACUCCGUGCCAGCAGCCGCGGUAAUACGGAGGAUCCGAGCGUUAUCCGGAUUUAUUGGGUUUAAAGGGAGCGUAGGUGGAUUGUUAAGUCAGUUGUGAAAGUUUGCGGCUCAACCGUAAAAUUGCAGUUGAAACUGGCAGUCUUGAGUACAGUAGAGGUGGGCGGAAUUCGUGGUGUAGCGGUGAAAUGCUUAGAUAUCACGAAGAACUCCGAUUGCGAAGGCAGUUCACUGGACUGCAACUGACACUGAGGCUCGAAAGUGUGGGUAUCAAACAGGAUUAGAUACCCGGGUAGUC
rnacentral:rRNA from 1 species